UCUCUGCUAGUAUAUCGGUUAGUACACGCCCCUGUCACGGGCGAAAGCCAGGUUCGACUCCUGGGCAGAGAG
rnacentral:tRNA from 1 species